rnacentral:rRNA from 1 species
UACGUAGGGUCCGAGCGUUGUCCGGAAUUACUGGGCGUAAAGAGCUCGUAGGUGGUUUGUCGCGUUGUUCGUGAAAACUCACAGCUUAACUGUGGGCGUGCGGGCGAUACGGGCAGACUUGAGUACUGCAGGGGAGACUGGAAUUCCUGGUGUAGCGGUGGAAUGCGCAGAUAUCAGGAGGAACACCGGUGGCGAAGGCGACUGCCUGGACGAGCAUUGACGCUGAGGUGCGAAAGCGUGGGGAGCAAACAGG